GCCGCAGACCGCCUUAUCGUCGUUCCGAUUUAUCGGGAGGGAGGAAAGUCCGGACACCAUAGAGAAGCAUAGCGGGUAACACCCGCCGGUUCCGGUAACUAUCGGGAUCAGGACAAGUGCAACAGAAAGUAUGUACAGGUAAUGCUGUAGUGAAACCAGGUAAACUCUAUGCGGUGAAAUACCAAGUAUAUCAGCAUUUAAGGGCUUCUCGUCCGUUGUUGAAGGGUAGGUAGCUUGAGUCCCGUAGUAAUGCGGGAUCUAGAUAAAUGAUAAGGCUCUGAUUUAUCAGAGACAGAAUCCGGCUUAUAGGUCUGCUUUUUUU
rnacentral:RNase_P_RNA from 1 species